UACGAAGGGGGCUAGCGUUGCUCGGAAUGGCUGGGCGUAAAGGGCGCGUAGGCGGAUGGUACAGUCAGAUGUGAAAUUCCUGGGCUUAACCUGGGGGCUGCAUUUGAUACGUGUUGUCUAGAGUGAGGAAGAGGGUCGUGGAAUUCCCAGUGUAGAGGUGAAAUUCGUAGAUAUUGGGAAGAACACCGGUGGCGAAGGCGGCGACCUGGUCCUUUACUGACGCUGAGGCGCGAAAGCGUGGGGAGCAAACAGG
rnacentral:rRNA from 1 species